rnacentral:rRNA from 1 species
CCUACGGGGGACAGCAGUGAGGAAUAUUGUUCAAUGGUCGGGAGACUGAACCAGCCAAGCCGCGUGAGGGAUGAAGGUACAGAGUAUCGUAAACCUCUUUUGUCAGGGAACAAAGGCGGGGACGCGUCCCCGGAUGAGUGUACCUGAAGAAAAAGCAUCGGCUAACUCCGUGCCAGCAGCCGCGGUAAUACGGAGGAUGCGAGCGUUAUCCGGCUUUAUGGGGUUUAAAGGGUGCGCAGGCGGUCUGUUAAGUCAGCGGUCAAAGCCCGGGGCUCAACCCCGGCCCGCCGUUGAAACUGGCAGUCUCGAGUUGGAGAGAAGUAUGCGGAAUGCGCGGUGUAGCGGUGAAAUGCAUAGAUAUCGCGCAGAACUCCGAUUGCGAAGGCAGCAUGCCGGCUCCACACUGACGCUGAGGCACGAAAGCGUGGGUAUCGAACAGGAUUAGAUACCCUUGUAGUC